UUUCCCUCAGGAUAGCUGGAGCUCUUGCUGAGUUUUAUCGGGUAAAGCGAAUGAUUAGAGGCAUCGGGGGUGAAACACCCUCGACCUAUUCUCAAACUUUAAAUAGGUAAAGCAGCUGGGGUUCUUUGUUGAGCCCCGGCCGUGAAUGCGAGCUCCAAGUGGGCCAUUUUUGGUUAAGCAGAUUGACUAGGCCAUUUUCGGUACAUUCGUCCGAGGCAUAGGAUCAUCCACCCGGUAACCCGGUACCGACCACGACCAAAACGAUUUCCCUAAACAAUUCCUAUGUCACCUCCUACGGUUUGGGUGUCCAGGGGGUACCUGUAUCAUGGAAGACGAGGAUUAGUAAUGCAAUCUCCACUAGCUCUAUCUCUCAUUUUGUGAAAGUACGAAGCUAGGUUUCAAAACUGAACUGAGAUUUGCACGACUGAUGCUCGCGAGCCAAUGUACUCAGGUACAUGCCCGGGCCACACAUCAGAAGUGAAUUCCAAAGAUUAGGACUAAGGAGCAUGCUCAACCUGAUCGCUAUCCGUUGACUCAUGGAUCUCGCCGUUGGGACCAGUCGCUGUCAUCCCGUCUUUUUUCUAAGCGGAUGAUUAGAAGCUGGAACCAUCGAUAUCACGAGCACUACCUGGGCAGAGUCAGUGAGAGCCCCUUGUGUCGCCGUGGUGUUUAGUUCCAGUGCUCUGGCUGAGAGAGAUUCCUACAGACCAAGGGUAAAAGGACGUAGAAAAACGAAUCAUUUGUACCCAUUUUUGCGUGGCCAGGAAUGCGGUAGUGAGAUUCCUCGCGACCUUAGUGGUGGGUGUAAGCUCGUUUUGAGCUAUUCCCAAACAAACACUUCGUUGGCGCUGCUCAUUCUUGCGGUGUGCAACGAAGCGGCUGUUGAUCCUGGAGUGGGUGGGAAAUGUGCGUGGUUGUGCUAGCGCACAGCCUUGCAGCGGCCCAGGCUUGCUCUGCUUGUGAGUGUGCUCCUGGAGAAUGCGGCAGCGGCGGAUACAAGCUAGAAACCCUAACGUUAGGGUUUUUCCCGUCACUUCAUACCUUUCGGUGUGAGAAAAUCCAGCGCCCGCAGCCAUGAAGUCGAAUAGCUAUAGCUUGUAAUUAGGUUUGCCUAUCCAUACAGCAUGUUUCUUCCCGGGAUUCUGUGAGGAAUCCAAGGUUUUGUUUUUUACCAUGCCACGUCUACUCAUGUGUCCCAUUAGUUUAUCUAUGGGGAAACAGAGUUUUCUGUAAGUAAGGUUUCCUUAAAAAUUAUUUUUAAAGAAGGCCUUCUUGCGAUUAAGCGUGGGAUCUAUCUCAGAAUGAGAGAGCAGCAACUUGUGUUGUAUUUUUAUUUUCUAAUCAAAACACAGUUGUAGUCAAUGGUACGCCCACACAUCUUAGUUUAGCGCGUAACCAAGGAUUGCAUGGUAAGUUUGGGGGAACUAAUUCUUUUGUUGUUCACAGUCCAAAGAGGCAUAAAUAUUGAAUCUAUUAUGUUUCGAUAUGAUGCUAAAGUGAUGGAUAAUCCUGUCUGGAAGACAGAGUUCCUGGUGCUCAGCUUGAGUUUGCUGAGUCGUCGAGCUGUGGUGGGCAAUUGGCCGGCUCUCAAAGAGAAUGUCAAAGAGAAUUUCUAUGACUGCUUGCACCGGUGUCAGGGGGCUGGUGAGAAUGAUACGAUCCAGACCACUAAGGAUGAGUCGUCUCAAUGCAUAGCGAUGGAAUCCUUUUUCCACGAAGCAUUCAAUGAGAUUAUCAAUCUCAAGGAGAUGCCACCGGUGGUGUUAAUCAGAUAGAAAAGCGCGAAGACUUGCCCCAGGAUUACUUUGGAUGAGUUUGCAAUGGGUCGGUUUGAAUCUUGAUGAAUGUACAACAAGACUUUGAGUGGAAGUGAUUGGCACUUGUCAUAUUUUGUAGUUAAGAAAGUGCCAUCAACCCGUAUGACUUGGAUCUGAAGGCUCAAGAAGUGAGCAGACAUAUUCACGAGUGAGCCGUCCGUGCCUAUGAGUGGAUUAUCCAUCUCAUUUUGCAUGGCAAGGAAUCGUAAUGGAUAUAUCCAGAACGGAUUUCCUUCGGAUUCAACUUGAUCAGGGUCAAGGAAGAAGAGGAUCAUGGGGUUAUUCAUUGACACCAGAUCGUCCAUGUACCGGAAAGUGUGUUCAAAUAGGCAUAGCAGAUCGUACCAGCCUAAACAAGCGAGUCGAGUGAUAAAGUUAUACUCGAAGUAGAAUAGGUACAGAUUACACCAGAACUAGCGAUGCGGGAUGAAACGAAAGCAGGGCUACGGUGCCAAAGUGCGCGCUAACCCAGAUCCCACAAAGGGUGUUGAUUGAUUAAGACAGCAGGACGGUGGUCAUGGAAGUUGAAAUCCGCUAAGGAGUGUGUAAGAACUCACCUGCCGAAUCAACACGCUCACAUGUCCACUCCACUCUCUCCCAGCGGCCACUCUUCUCUCCUCUUGCC
rnacentral:rRNA from 1 species